GCCGCCUUUUACUUCAUGCUGCGGGCGUUCCGGUUGAAGAAACCCCAGAGGAAGAAGUACGGGCUGCUGUCGAGCCAGGACGAGAACAUCGAGCUGGGCUCCCUCGACAGCGACGAGGACACCGUGUUUGAAAGCCGGAACCUGAGGCGAUGACUGAGGACCAGUGGCACUGCCUGGAAUGAUGGAGGGUCCAAUCCCAGUGGAAUCUUUAGUGCUCAAGUUUUCUAUCUGCUUACAGUGACUUCACUAACAGUCUGAGCCCUUCCAUAGCUGGGGCAGGGGGAGAGGGGACCAAACCUGUUUUCUUCACGUGCAUUUUUGGGGACAUUUCUGGGCAAAGAUGGGAGCUGUUCACUGCAUGGGGAAAGGCUUGAGGUAAAGGAGAUGCUCUUGGAGGAUUUUCAGCGCCUGAAAUCUGAGCUCCAGAGCUGCCCCCGUGCCUCAUACCCCUCUCUCCAUGCCCUGGAAGCAUCAGAUCCCUUCUCCAGGCUGAUCCUCUUUCCUUCAUGCAAUAUCAGGUUACUUCUUUGGGAAGUGUCUCUGUAAUCAGCUUCUGGGAGGAGCUGUGAGAGCUCUGGCUCUGUUACAGGAACGGGGGUGGGAGGGUGAUAGCUCAGACAGAGCAGCUUUGGGAAGGAGUUAAACGAGUUACAUUUUGCACGAUUGGCAAUUCCUGGGAUAAUCCAGGUCAUUCAUGGGUUUACAGAAAUGAAAGGGGCCAAAACCCAAAGGAAUCUUUCUCCAAAAGGGCUGGGAAUGCCUGGACACUGCCCCGCCCCAGCUGUGAGCUCACCAGGGACACGUGUGACAUCUGCCAAGCUCUGGAUACCUGAGGAAGAGCCAGAUGUGAGCCAGGGAGUGUCUUGGAGAGCUGAUGACUGGAAAAGGGGGACCCCAACCCCUCCUGACUGUGAUUCAGGGCAGCCCUGGAUGAGCUCUCUCCUCUCAAGGACCCUGGAGUUUCAUUCCCUUGGCUGGUACUCAGCUGGCAUCUUUCCUGCAGCCCAUUGUUACGUGGAUAUUUGGGAUCUGAUUGUGUAGGACCAAAGGUGAAUGUGUCAGGAGGUGGUUUUUGGGUAGAUUUGCUGCUAAGUCGGUGAAAACUCCUCACCAAUGUUUCUGUCUGUGGCCUUUCCUUGGAAACUGGCAGCACAUCCUUCAAUCCCACUUCCCCCCAAGCUGGCAGUGCCUUUGGAAAACCAGAGGGAUUCACCCUGCGGGCAGGGAGGGUCCCUGUGGCACAUUUAGGGUGAAAAAUGAGGAUAAUUCACCUUUAGGGUGAAUCUUUGGGAUGUCUGGCUCCUUUCCUUUGGCUUGCAAACCCCCUGUGGAUCAGGGGCACCGAUGGCUCUUGGAGAAGGGACAGGGAUGUGCUGAUCCUGAUCUGGGGGAGGCUGGGGGCUGCCAGAUGCUGCAGGAUCUGCUGAGGGAGUGCUGUGAUGCUGUGCAAGCAGCAGUUUGUCUGUCAGGACAGGUGAGGUUUCCUGGAGAAACCCCACCCUCGUGGCAGCUCUGUCUCACACGUGCACAGAGGAUUUUAAAAUACACACAUAUAUUUUUUUAAUAACAUUGCCGUGUGCACACAGCGCUUGCAUGUGCCCUGUUUUCCUGUCGUUUGGAUCGUUUCACACCUGUUUUGGGUGUUCCCUGCCUUGUGGGAGCAGGCAGAGCUUCCAUGUGGGGAUUGCUGGGGUGGCUUCACCCGGAUCAGCUUCCCUGGUGAUGAUUUGAGCUCUGUGAGGAUCUUUCUUCAUCCUGCAGGGCUGCAUGUGCUGGUAAAAUUCCCUGGCUCUUUUAUUCCCUCUGAAAAGUUGUUCCUUGUGCUGCUGGAGCCUGACUGUCCCACUGCCAUGCUCAGUGUUUGACCAACACGUUCCUCAUCCCUCCUUCACCUGGAGCAUUCCUUAGGCUCCCCUCUUGUUGGGCAGCUGGGGUUUGCAAUUCUCAACUUUCCUCACCUCACACCACUGGAGCAUUUGUUUAAUGUUAAAUUAUUCAGAUCAGAGGGAACCUCAAGCAGUAGGUCUUGCCUUGAAAAUAAUUCUGCUGCAAUUAAUUUUGGCUGGAACAGAUGUUUGUGUUUGAGCAGGGAAAGGUGUGGAGCAGGUGAUUAAGUGCCUGGGAAAGAAAUUGAUGUGCCAACCUAGAAUUUCUACACCACUUCCAUCUUUUCAGAGUCCUCCUGGCCACCUUUAAGGGGUGCAGGGUACAAAGGUGCUUGUGGGGCUGUCACUUGUCCUGGUCUUGGGCUGGAGCAGUAAUCAGGGACCUUGUGAAGCUGUUUCCACUUCCAUCCUGCCCCUCAGCAGCAGUUGGCAUCUGGGUUUGCCCUUUGCAGGCUGUGAUAUUCCAUCCCUGCUCUGCUCUGAGUCCUUGGAGACCUUUUCUAGGAGGAGAAAACCCAAGUGACAGAUCUGAGACUCCUUGGGGUGCUCAGCAUGAUCCAUUUCUCUGGGAGGAAUCAUCUGGAUCUGGCACUUCCUGCAGUGUGAGCAGUGCCAGGCCAGGCCAGGGGGUUUGGGGUGAAUCUUGCAAAUAACAGCAGCUUUGAACACCUCACGUGACAUUUCCACAAAGGAGCAGUUCAGGUGUUUCUUCCAUGACUCUUCAGUUCCUCCAUGUGUAUUUGAUACCCUUGUUUUAGGUCUGUGCCCCAGUUGGAUCUUCAGAUUUCCAGUUGUUUUUCAUGCUAAACGCAGGAAUGCAAACAGAUCCACCUGUGCCUGAUCCUGGGCAGGCACUGCUGCACUUUUAUUUCUCCUGGAUGCAUCAGGGUGUUGGUGGAGGUUCCAUGUGCCUGUUGGUCUGCAGGAUUCCUGCUCAUCCCACCAAAAAGAGCCAAUGGAUCACAACCUGCAACAGUCAGCACCCGUGUGCAUCGUGACUACGACAGUCUGCUCUGAAUUAAACCAAAUUUUCCAAAGUUUACAUAAUCCCUCUGUUACCUUGGAGGCUUUCUGGGCUGCCCGAACUGACUGAGGUUUCAUCUGCAGGGUUAAUGGGAUCCAUGGGAGCGGGGUGAGAUCAGCUCUGCUGGUUUUUUUCUGUGCCUGGGAUGGGACCUGCAGCCCUGCCAGGGUCUGUGCCUGUGGUGGGAGUCAAUAAACAGCACUUGAGGACGUUGUUGUCUGAGCUCCCCAAGGAGCAGCUCGUGUUUUGCCCUCCUGGAGCUGCUGAUCUGUCUUUAAACAGCCAUGGUAUUGAUCCAUGGUUUUCUUGUCAUUGCAGCAUCCCCCUCCCUUGUACCUGGAACCACUGGAAUAAAGAAUUCCAGCCCACCCAUCCCUCCCUGCUGAGCCUGUGGGAUGAGGCUGCUCUGGUGAACUCGUGGAUUUAUGGGGUCUUUGGGGUUUCCCCCUCCUCACAGGGCAGUGACACUGAGCUCCCAGAGCUGCUGCUCACCUUGUGUCCUGUCUGGAAGUGUCCAAGCCCAGGCUGGAUUGAGUUUGGAGCCACCUGGUCUAUGGAAGAUGUCCCUGCCCAUGGGUGAACUUUAAAGUCCCGUUCAAGCCAUUCAGUGACUCUGUGAUUCCCCAAUCAUCUCUGGGUUGUUUCAGUUUUCUGAAGUCUCCUCCUUUCUCCCUGUUCUCACAUUAAUCCCCUUUAUUGUACAGAGGACCAAAUAAAGUCUCUGUAAUGCCAA